CCCAUCUCCGCCAGGACGUGAACUCUCCACUGGUCCAGGUAGCUGCCGAUCCUGUCGACGUACGCUUUGGUCUUCUGCGCUAGGCACGAUUGGGCAUAAAGAAAGAGUGAGAAAAUUUCACCUAUCGAGUCGAAUGUGAUGCGAUAUCGACUGAUUGACUUGCCGCUGAAGCGGCUGGAGCUGCAACUCCAAAGUGGUCAGUUGGUAUACCAAAUCCUCGUGCAUUUUCAUCAAGGGUUUCACUUUGCGUUCCAGCAGACUUCGAGCUGUUGUUGCGAUCGUGUCCAGGCUCCGAGCUGUGCUAUGAUCUCGAAUUUGCCUCGCCACGUUGUCCAGCUGCUCGGACAACGCGCUGAGAUCCUUGUUCAGGAUUGGUCCUUGAAUCUGGGAGUGAGCAAGUGGAUUUGAAUUUCGGGAUCACGAAGAACUUGCAAAUUC